AGAAGAACAGAGUUAUAUUUGUUUGAUUUCUGCCACAGAAGAGCAGAGUGAUAUAUUUUUGUUUGUUUGAUUUUUGCCACAGUAGAGCAGAUACUGCCACAGUAGAGCAGUCUAUUUUCCAUCCAUCUAUUUUCCUGCCACAGUAGAGCAGAGGCUGUCACAGAAGAGUAGUUAUUUAUUUGUUCACGGGUUGGAAAAUCAUAUCCAGAAUAACAUGGAUUCGUGACUGGAUAAUGUCGGGAUGCGGGCAGACAACCGACACAUGAGCUCAUGGCCUGCUUAGGACAGACAUGCAUCAUAAUAUUUGCACAUAUGCAUUUGGUUGUGUUUGCUUGUAUUACUUGUUUGUGAUUGUGUUGUUUAUCUUAUUGCAACUUGUGUGUGUUGAAUUGAAUCUCUUACUUGUGCUAUUGGUUGUGAAUGUAUUGAGGUUAUUAAUAACUGUUGUUGUAACUAAGAAUUAAUUAGGUGGCUAAGAGAUAGUUAGUAUGACAAGCUUUGUGAUUGAGAUCUGAUUUGGUUUUAGAAAUUUAAAGAAAGUAAUUAAUUAUCUAAAGUAAAAUUAAGAAUUAUUUUCAAAGGUUUGACAAAAAUAUUUUUAUUUAAGUAAAGUUAAUUAUUUGUAAUUUUAAUCAUUACUUUUAUGGCAUUUCAAUUACCUACUGAGAACGUGUGGUUUGUUCUUACCCCAAAAUCUUCUACCCUUUCAAUGACACAGGUUUGAAGACUCAGUAUGAAGCUGUGGAUGAAUAGUUGGAAAUGUUUAUAAGUUAAGUUAUUUUCAUAGAGUUCCCUCGCCUUUAUUGAUUGAGAUU